UACAGAGGUCUCAAGCGUUGUUCGGAUUCAUUGGGCGUAAAGGGUGCGUAGGCGGCGCGGUAAGUCGGGUGUGAAAUCUUGGAGCUUAACUCCGAAACUGCAUUCGAUACUGCCGUGCUUGAGGACUGGAGAGGAGACUGGAAUUUACGGUGUAGCGGUGAAAUGCGUAGAUAUCGUAAGGAAGACCAGUGGCGAAGGCGGGUCUCUGGACAGUUCCUGACGCUGAGGCACGAAGGCCAGGGGAGCAAACGGG
rnacentral:rRNA from 1 species